CCAGAGAGAGAGAAAAAGAGAGAAAAGUUUCCCGGAGUCUUCAUUAGUUGAUUUCUCUGUCCACCGCUUUCCCCGGCCGGUUCAUCCCCAGUAAAGAAAGGGGGGGGGUGUUAUUUUUUUAAGGCCCCAAAGAACCCGAUGUUUACAAGACCAGAAAUGCCACCUCCGCGUCCUGGCAGAGAAAAGGCUGAAAUGGAGGACCGGCGCCUUCCUUAUAAGUUCGUUGGGGCCUGAGCCAGCGCCGACAUGGUAGAGAAAGCAACCGCGAAACUAAAGAGAGCCAGACGAGGGAAGAGAGCGCCAGACGGAGGUGAAAGUGAACCACGCAGAGGAAUGCAGGCAAGGGAGCAAGGCGGCAGUUCCCCGAACAAACGUGGCAGAGGGCAACACGGGCACUCACAGACAGAGGUUUAUGUAUUUUUAUUUUUUAAAAAAUCUGAUUUGGUGUUCUAUGAGAAAAAGGGAAAAUCUCGGGAACGGGAAUACAGAGGGAAUUAUCCGGGUCCUAGCUCACCACAUGAACGCCCAGAAGGAGAGAGCGCUGGAAAAACCUGAGCGGGUGUCGGGACAGCACCCGGCUCCAGUCAGCCGCUGUCCCUUACGCUGCCGGGCAGGACCCACGAAGCCCCCCCUCGCGGCCACCCGGGCUUCCUUGGUCUUAUCAUCUCCAUCUUUAUGAAGAGGCUUGUUAACAAGACCAGCGAGCUGGCCACGCACAUCUAUCUCAGCCGCGCCCGCUCAGUUGAGCAGCGGGCCGGCGGGGGGACUGGGAGGCGCUAAUGAAUUGAUUCCUUCGGACUGUAAAAUAUGGCGGCGUCUACACCGAACCCAAGGACUCAUAAACAAUAUCUCUGUUGGG